rnacentral:tRNA from 1 species
UGGGAGAUGGUUCAGUGGUUAAGAACAUAGGCUGUUCUUCUAGAGGACCUGGGUUCAACUCCCAGCACCCAC